CGGAUUGUAGUCUGCAACCCGACUACANGAAGCUGGAAUCGCUAGUAAUCGCGGAUCAGAAUGCCGCGGUGAAUACGUUCCCGGGUCUUGUACACACCGCCCGUCACACCAUGGGAGUCGGAAAUGCCCGAAGUCUGUGACCCAACCGGAAGGAAGGAGCAGCCGAAGGCAGGUCUGAUAACUGGGGUGAAGUCGUAACAAGGUAAC
rnacentral:rRNA from 1 species